CUUGCACAGAUGACGACCGGCGCACGGGUGCGUAACGCGUAUAGAACCUACCUUUUACAGAGGAAUAGCCUUUAGAAAUGAAGAUUAAUGCCUCAUAGUAUUGUAGACUGGCAUCAGUUUAUAAUUAAAGAUUUAUCGGUAAAAGAUGGCUAUGCGUCCUAUUAGUUAGUUGGUAAGGUAACGGCUUACCAAGACAGCGAUAGGUAGGGGUCCUGAGAGGGAGAUCCCCCACACUGGUACUGAGACACGGACCAGACUCCUACGGGAGGCAGCAGUGAGGAAUAUUGGACAAUGGAGGAGACUCUGAUCCAGCCAUGCCGCGUGUAGGAAGAAUGCCCUAUGGGUUGUAAACUACUUUUAUACAGGAAGAAACACUGGUAUGUAUACCAGCUUGACGGUACUGUAAGAAUAAGGACCGGCUAACUCCGUGCCAGCAGCCGCGGUAAUACGGAGGGUCCGAGCGUUAUCCGGAAUCAUUGGGUUUAAAGG
rnacentral:rRNA from 1 species